rnacentral:lncRNA from 1 species
CUUCUUCUAAUCAUUUGGGGAAUACUGGUUCGAACGACCUGAGGAACAACUGCUAUAUGACUGUAAGUAAUAAGAUAAACAAAAAAGAGAGAGUGGGGACGUGUAAAGGAGAAUGUAAAGGGAAACAACGGAGUGAAAGACUGAGAGUAGUAGGAGACAUAAGUGAUUAAAAAAGGGAACAAGAAAUAUUUAUAUAGAGGGAUUCACAAUAAUUUCGAGGAUAAUGGUUUGAACCAUUUCUAGAACAUUGAUUUGACCCAAUUUAGGGACAAUGGUUUCAACUAUUUAUGGAACUAUGAUUUGGACUGUCGCAGGGACAAUGGUCUGAACCGUUGGACGAACAAUGAUUUGAGCCGUCGGGUGAACAAUGGUUUGACUAAUCGGACGAACAAUGGUUUCAGUCGUUGGAGGAACAAUGGUUUGAACUUUUGGAAAAACAAUGGUUUGAACUUUUGGAAAAACAAUGGUUUGGGCUAAUUAAGGACGUCGGUUUGAAGUGUUUGAGGGACGUGAAAAACAAUGAUUCAAACCAUUACAGUGACGUUGUUUAAAAAAAUUCAAACAAAAAAGAUUAGAAUUAUUCAAAAAACAACGUGUUAAACUCUUUGUCUGAGAAAGUGUAUUACACCAAUGAAAAACAAAACAGAUAAUAUAAGAACCUGCGUAGGAGACAACAAAAAAAACGUAGGAGAAGAUGUGUUUUCAACGAGAACAAAAAGAAAAAUGGGUUUGUAUGAACGAAGAAUAGGAGAUGAAGAGAUUGAUGAUUUUCGGACGAAAAAAAAUGAAUUGCAAAUAUGUACAGAUUGAAGUUGUGUUUCCAGCGAGAAAAAGAAGAAAAUGGGUUUCCACCGGCGAGUUCAAAAAAGAAAAAGAAGAUGAUUGUGAGAAAAAAUGAAGAAAAAGACGAUCGAGUAGAGGUGAGAUUGCGUGUGAGAUAA